UAGGAUGGAAAAUACUUUUUUUGCAUUAAAGUUUUAGCAGCCAACCUUU
rnacentral:tRNA from 1 species